CUCUACAAGUGUAACAUCAGAGGUCGUGGAGAGUCUCCAUCCAGCUGGAUCUCUGUCACAGGGAAAUCUACCACCCCCUCUCCUCCUGAUUCCUUCUCUUCCUCACCCACCUCUCUUCCUGGUUCCGCCUCUCCUCUCUCUGUGUUGUGGUCUGCUUUUCUAUCUUUCUAUCUUCUGGUUGUUCUGGUUGUUCUGGUUCUACUGGUUCUACUGGUUCUACUGGUGAGACGAUGUCUCCACAGGAAACCUAAAGCUGCUGAAGUAGAAGUUGAAGAUGAUGACAUCACAGAUGGCAUCGCAUACUGUGAUGUCAAAAUAUCAAGUCACCUACAGCAGCCAAUCAGAGGCAGCAGAGGUAACAAUGUUUUAUUCACUCUGUUUUUCAGGGACAGUGACUGUGUUCUUGUUCUUAUGACUUUGUGA